UGCCUUGAGAGAUACAAAAAUUAAAUUGCCACUUACACUACGUUUAUUAUUAUAACAUCAAUAAUUGCGAAAUCCAAACUGCAUUAACGACAUUUUGAUCUUUAGAUGAUCUCAGCUACUCAUCUUCCCCGAAUUUGCCACACCCACCCUCGUUGUAGAAAUUAAGGCUCACCAAUUUACAGAAACACAAGUCAAGCUUAUUGCACCGGUUCAUGGACAGCAGGUUUGAACUCAUCAAGAUCCGACACAACUUUACCUUGAAUCAGCCUCUUAUCCUUGGCCUCAUGAGCUUCUUGAACUUGUGUAAUUGGAAAUGUUCUCUCCACUGGGAUCAUUAGCUUUCCAGCCUUGGCUAGACGGUCAAUCUCAUCUAAGCCUUCAGCAUCAGCCCUCACGUAAGUCCAAUAUUCUGUAUCAUGUCAUAAGUAGGCAUUAAUAAGAUAAUGAUGAAGAUAUCACUAAUCUCAAGCGUACUGUAAGAACAUAAGAAAACAUGCAAUUGAUUGCUAGUCCGUAUCUAUUUAUCAAGGAUGUAGCCUCCCCCUGCAGCAAACACGACAAAAACUUUGCGGCUUUCCCUUAUCAAAGUUCAAAAUAUUAACAGGCUCUUUUUCCUUCUCAUGAGAAGAUUCUCAUCCAGCAGUGUUUUAUCUUCUGUUAAAUAACUUCACGGAACAGCUUGGCGUACAGUCUGUAUUUGGUUCGUCUUCAUUGCAGGUGGAAUAUACAUGAAGGAAGUUGAUCGUAUUCUUAGGCCUGGUGGCUGCUGGAUGCUUCAAACUUUAAAGCAUGGCAAUGCCCCAAGGAGGAGCUGAAGGAAGAACGAAGGCAGAUUGAAGAGACUGCUAAGCUUCUCUGUUGGGACAAGAAAUCUGAGAAAGGUGAAAUUGCUAUAUGGCAGAAGAAAAUGGACGCCAAUUUAUGUCAUGCGGUCAUGCCACGCAAGAAAAUUUAGGAGCUACAUUUUUUGAAUC
rnacentral:lncRNA from 1 species